rnacentral:pre_miRNA from 1 species
AAAAAGACAAACCCUAGUUUCCGUGUCCAAUGUUUGACCGUCCGUCUUAUUUGAAAAAAAUAUAAAAAAAUUAAAAAGACAAGUCACGCAUAAAAUAUUAAUCAUGUUUUAUCAUCUAACAACAAUGAAAAUACGAAUUAUAAAAAAAUUUCAUAUAAGACGGACGGUCAAAGUUGGACACGAAAAUUCAGGGUUUGUCUUUUU